rnacentral:rRNA from 1 species
CCUACGGGUGACAGCAGUGAGGAAUAUUGGUCAAUGGACGAGAGUCUGAACCAGCCAAGUAGCGUGAAGGAUGACUGCCCUAUGGGUUGUAAACUUCUUUUAUAUGGGAAUAAAAUGUUCCACGUGUGGGAUUUUGUAUGUAACAUAUGAAUAAGGAUCGGCUAACUCCGUGCCAGCAGCCGCGGUAAUACGGAGGAUCCGAGCGUUAUCCGGAUUUAUUGGGUUUAAAGGGAGCGUAGGUGGAUUGUUAAGUCAGUUGUGAAAGUUUGCGGCUCAACCGUAAAAUUGCAGUUGAAACUGGCAGUCUUGAGUACAGUAGAGGUGGGCGGAAUUCGUGGUGUAGCGGUGAAAUGCUUAGAUAUCACGAAGAACUCCGAUUGCGAAGGCAGUUCACUGGACUGCAACUGACACUGAGGCUCGAAAGUGUGGGUAUCAAACAGGAUUAGAUACCCUGGUAGUC